rnacentral:rRNA from 1 species
AGUGAACGCUGGCGGUAGGCCUAACACAUGCAAGUCGAACGGCAGCACAGUAAGAGCUUGCUCUUACGGGUGGCGAGUGGCGGACGGGUGAGGAAUACAUCGGAAUCUACUUUUUCGUGGGGGAUAACGUAGGGAAACUUACGCUAAUACCGCAUACGACCUACGGGUGAAAGCAGGGGAUCUUCGGACCUUGCGCGAUUGAAUGAGCCGAUGUCGGAUUAGCUAGUUGGCGGGGUAAAGGCCCACCAAGGCGACGAUCCGUAGCUGGUCUGAGAGGAUGAUCAGCCACACUGGAACUGAGACACGGUCCAGACCCCUACGGGAGGCAUCAGUGGGGAAUAUUGGACAAUGGGCGCAAGCCUGAUCCAGCCAUACCGCGUGGGUGAAGAAGGCCUUCGGGUUGUAAAGCCCUUUUGUUGGGAAAGAAAAGCAGCAGGUUAAUACCCCGCUGUUCUGACGGUACCCAAAGAAUAAGCACCGGCUAACUUCGUG